UACGUAGGGGGCAAGCGUUGUCCGGAUUUAUUGGGCGUAAAGAGCGCGCAGGCGGCUUGGCAAGUCGGGUGUGAAAUCCCGGGGCUCAACCCCGUGACUGCAUUCGAUACUGUCAGGCUAGAGGUAGGUAGGGGAGAUCGGAAUUCCUGGUGUAGCGGUGAAAUGCGCAGAUAUCAGGAGGAACACCGGUGGCGAAGGCGGAUCUCUGGGCCGAUACUGACGCUGAGGAGCGAAAGCGUGGGGAGCGAACAGG
rnacentral:rRNA from 1 species